GACGAACGCUGGCGGCGUGCCUAAUACAUGCAAGUAGAACGCUGAAGAGAGGAGCUUGCUCUUCUUGGAUGAGUUGCGAACGGGUGAGUAACGCGUAGGUAACCUGCCUUGUAGCGGGGGAUAACUAUUGGAAACGAUAGCUAAUACCGCAUAACAAUGGAUGACACAUGUCAUUUAUUUGAAAGGGGCAAUUGCUCCACUACAAGAUGGACCUGCGUUGUAUUAGCUAGUAGGUGAGGUAACGGCUCACCUAGGCGACGAUACAUAGCCGACCUGAGAGGGUGAUCGGCCACACUGGGACUGAGACACGGCCCAGACUCCUACGGGAGGCAGCAGUAGGGAAUCUUCGGCAAUGGGGGCAACCCUGACCGAGCAACGACGCGUGAGUGAAGAAGGUUUUCGGAUCGUAAAGCUCUGUUGUAAGUCAAGAACGAGUGUGAGAGUGGAAAGUUCACACUGUGACGGUAGCUUACCAGAAAGAGACGGCUAACUACGUG
rnacentral:rRNA from 1 species